rnacentral:rRNA from 1 species
UACGUAGGGACCAAGCGUUGUCCGGAAUCAUUGGGCGUAAAGAGCGUGUAGGCGGCCUGUUAAGUCUUGCGUGAAAUCUCGGGGCUCAACCCCGAGCGGUCGUGAGAAACUGGCAGGCUAGAGUGCGGGAGAGGAUGGUGGAAUUCCCAGUGUAGAGGUGAAAUGCGUAGAUACUGGGAGGAACACCAGUGGCGAAGGCGGCUACCUGGACCGGUUCUGACGCUGAGGCGCGAAAGCGUGGGUAGCAAACAGG